rnacentral:lncRNA from 1 species
UCUCCCAUGGUCAUGUCUGAAGAGUGCUGGCGACCUGCAGCCCUGGCGGCGGGAAGAACACUUGAAGGCCCAGGAGACGAGGGUGUGUGAUUCCCAAGGCCGCUGCGGAGGAAGAGCCCUGCUCUUCCUCAGCUCUGCUGUCGCUGUCCUCCUCGUCCCUGCAGACCAUGGGCUCUGCCCCAGGGGAGGUCUAUUUGGUCUGCCAGGUGAUCCCCGAGGCCACCGUGGAGGAAGAUCCCUGCUCUUCCUCGGCCCUGUCUUCCGGGGCGCCCUCCUUCCUCCGCCAGGUGAUUCCCAAGACCGCAGUGGAAGAAGAUCCCUGCUCUUCCUCGUCUCUGUUGGCUUCUGGGGCGCCCCGCUUCCUCCCCGAGGUGAGGCUGCAGGCCACUGGGGAGGAAGAGCCCUCUUCCUCUGCUCUGUCUUCCGGGGCGCCCUCCUUCCUCCACCAGGUGAUUCUCAAGACGACAGUGGAAGAAGAUCCCUGCUCUUCCUCAUCUCUGCUGUCUUCUGGGGCGCCCCGCUUCCUCCCCCAAAUGAGUCGGGAGGCCACUGGGGAGCAAGAUCCCUGCUCUUCCUCGUCCCUGCAGUCCAUGGCCUCCACCCCAGCUACCCCAGGUCAAGUGCGUGUGCAGUGGCUGCCGCCUGGAAAUCCUGGACAAAUACCUCCUCAAGGUGAAUGACAUGUACUGGCACAUGCAAUGCCUCUGCUGUAGCGUGUGCCAGACCUCCUUGGGAAAGCACGCCACCUGUUUCAUUAAAGAUAACACCAUUUUCUGCAAGAUUGAUUAUCUCAGGAAAUUUGGAACCUGCUGCUGUGGCUGUGGGAGGUACGUGUGCUCCAGCGAUUGGGUACAGAAGGCGCGGGGCUAUGUCUACCACUUGGCCUGCUUUGUUUGUUUCUCCUGCAAAAGACAGCUCAGUACUGGAGAUGAGUUUGCUUUGGUGGAAGAAAAAGUCCUUUGUAGAAUCCAUUAUGAUGGCUUGGAGGACAGUCUGAAGAGAGAAGCAGAAAAUGGUAA